UCCUCAGACUGUCUGAAGGUUCAAACUAAAAGAGAACUACUCAGGAACUUAGAAGAUUUCAGUCCUCAGACUGUCUGAAGGUUCAAACUAAAAGAGAACUACUCAGGAACUUAGAAGAUUUCAGUCCUCAGACUGUCUGUCUCAAUCGUACGACGUAGUGUGUAACUGUAUGCAGCACAGUGAGCCAGCAUACUUGUUUCCGUUUUCACGCCGUCUACAUCAACAGAAUGCACUGAAACUUUCCCCCACUAGCUUAGCCUCGCCGUAGCACGCAGCUCAAAGGGGCGUGUCCUGUCUACUCAUUCAUAUCUAUGACAACAACGAUGGCUGCAAAUAAGGACGCCUGAUGUUCAUUAGCUGCGUAAAUACUAUUAUAUACAGUCUAUGGUAAAUACGUAUGUGAAUCGCAUCAUUGGCUGCAGCAGCCAGUCACCGGUCAUUCACUGACUCACAUUGAAAAAUAGCACAGAAUGAAUUGUUACGUGUUUAUUUUAUUUACAAUUUAGGUUGGAUUUUUUUUUUUUGUGCGCAGCGCAGAUUUUCUGUGCGCGGAGACCGUGUCAGCAGUGCGCAAUUGCGCUUAGAGGGAACAGUGCUGGAGAGCGUUUGUGAUGCUGAAGCAGUGAUCAGUUUUUCUGUUUCUUCUCUGGAGAUGCACAAUGAGGGACGUCUGCAGAGACUGAGAAAGAGUCUCACCACAUCCUGACAUGAGGAAAAAGACUUUAUUGAAGACUACAAUGAGAAAAACUAUCCAGACAGCAGACGGCUGCAUUCAAGUCUGUAGCUGCUGAAUUCAUGGAUGAAUCAUCUGGCACUAGAGAGGAAGACCAUCAAACAUCCACGUCAGCUGAUGGAGGUCCAAGAGUCUCACCAAACAAACAACCUACAGAGUGAAGACCUCGAAUCUGAUUGGACGGCCUCCUAUUCAGCCACAUGUGUGAACAAAUGCCUCUAAGCUGAUUUGUUUUCUAAAAUAAAUCUAGUUUGAGUCCUAA